UACGUAGGGUGCAAGCGUUGUCCGGAAUUAUUGGGCGUAAAGAGCUCGUAGGCGGUUUGUCGCGUCUGCUGUGAAAACCCGAGGCUCAACCUCGGGCCUGCAGUCGAUACGGGCGGACUUGAGUGUUGCAGGGGAGACUGGAAUUCCUGGUGUAGCGGUGAAAUGCGCAGAUAUCAGGAGGAACACCGGUGGCGAAGGCGGGUCUCUGGGCAACUACUGACGCUGAGGAGCGAAAGCGUGGGGAGCGAACAGG
rnacentral:rRNA from 1 species